rnacentral:rRNA from 1 species
UACGAAGGGGGCUAGCGUUGCUCGGAAUCACUGGGCGUAAAGGGUGCGUAGGCGGGUCUUUUAAGUCAGAGGUGAAAUCCUGGAGCUCAACUCCAGAACUGCCUUUGAUACUGAGGAUCUUGAGUUCGGGAGAGGUGAGUGGAACUGCGAGUGUAGAGGUGAAAUUCGUAGAUAUUCGCAAGAACACCAGUGGCGAAGGCGGCUCACUGGCCCGAUACUGACGCUGAGGCACGAAAGCGUGGGAGGCAAACAGGG